CUCUGUUUUUCCGCUGACAAAUGCUGCCAGACCUGCUGAGCUUUUGCAGCAACUUUGUAUUUGUUUUCUGAUUUGCAACAUCCGCAGUUCUUUGGGUUUUUACUCAGUGUUUUAGAGUUUAUUUACAGGGCGCUCUUUAUUUAUCGCGAGCUCUGUCUUUUAGGGUUUAUUUGUGAAGGGCCCUGUCUUACAGAUAGUUUACAGGUCGGCUCAGUAUUCGGGUGCAUGAAGAGGGAAAAAAGCCUUGAAAGUGCCGUUUUUUUUUGCAUGGCAAGCUGCUGAAUACGAACCAGUCUCACACCAUUGCCAUCACCUUGCCCUUGUGAAGGCAGAUAUGGAUAAAGUUUUCAAAGCUGAUAGAAAAUUGAAAGCACUCGCAUCCUGUGACAAUGAUUCUGAUGUCGGUAACUGGAAAGCCUCCAUUGUUGGAGGACGAGAAGCCAUAUCCAAUUGAAGCAGCAUAGGCUUCUGCGAUGACUGUGGAAACCACUGCUUAUGCCUUGCUUCAAGCAUUGUCAAGGAAUGAUGUUGACUAUGCAACACCGAUUGCGAGGUGGCCA